ensembl:processed_transcript Gm13061 predicted gene 13061
UUACAGAUGCCGGCCCCGUGCAGCAGCUGCGGCUCGUCUGCCGCUCGGGCCGCGUCAGCCGGCGCCUCCUCUGGCGCCUUCUCCGCUGCCUUGGCGCAGCCACCUGGAGAUAGGGAGGGCCAGGUGAUCAGCUGGGGGCCAAGGGAUCGCAGGCCCUCUCGGGGACCCGUCUGGGAGAUCUCGGUGGUCAGCCCGCGGAUAGACACCCAGGAGGAGGCAGCAACCAAGCAGCUGGCCUCAGAGCUGACCCGGCUGCUUGGCGCUGACCUGCUCUCACCCCCCACCUCCGUGUGCUUAGAUAGACCUGGAGUUCUGGACACUAGGAAGCCGGGAUAGGGGUGCAAGGAAGCGGCUGGAGACCCCACCGAGCUGAUCUGGCUUAACCUGGGUGCUGCCUCUAAACUCGGCCUGUCUCUAGACUGAAACUGGAUGUCUCUAACUCCAAAUUUCAACAACAGUUUCUCUGGGUUUGUCCCAAUCAGAAACAAGCUCCUAGUUGAUUCUGUGCGAAGAGUCCUUUGCUCCCCUCCUAAGCCUACACCUAAAGUUGCUUCCAGGUCCAGCUUCCUGAGAGAGCAUGUGGAAACCUCGAAGAAUGCCCUCGGUGCUAGCUGUGUUCUCAUCGGGCCCCUGCCUGCCGCGUCCCGCCCGUCCUGUCCCAUCCGUUGG